UAGUGUGAGGAUAAUAAAAUCGAAGUGAAUGGUCCAUCCAUCCAUCCAUGGCUGGAAUUGCGUCCUUCUUGACCCCUUGUUCAUCUCUAAACUUGAAACCCCUUCCAUACUCAUUCCAUCUUAAUCCAACAACAAGAAGACCCUUUCAUCAUCUCACAAUCACCAAGGCUCAAGGAGAUAACAACAAUUCCAAUUCUUCAUCUUCAGCUACCUCCAAUGACCAACCCCUUUUCGUCACUGCUCAGGAUGUUCCAUUGGAGGGUGUCAUCCAGUUUGACAAGCCAACCUCCUCUUCUUCUUCUUCCCGUAUUCAAAAAUGGGGGCGUGUGGCUCUGCUAGCUGGUGUGGAUGUAUUGGCCUUACUUGUCUUUGCCACCAUUGGUAGAUACAGUCAUGGAUUAUCUACCAUGGACCUCCAAACCUUGCGAACCGCCGAUCCUUUCAUAGCCGGAUGGUUCCUUGGUGCUUACUUUCUUGGAGGUUAUGGCGAGGAUGGGCGAGGGAUGAAGGGUCUCCCUAGUGGUGUCAUUGCUACUGCUAAGUCAUGGGCAGUUGGGAUCCCUAUAGGAAUAGCAAUAAGGACCGCAACGUCCGGUAAUCUUCCAAACUAUGGCUUCAUAUUUGUCAGUCUGGGAAGCACUGCUGUUUUGCUUAUCACAUUCAGAGCAUUGCUCUAUACUCUUCUUCCUCUCCAAAAUCAAAACAAGGCCGACGACGAUGUCUAUCGCCGUGGCAGUCCUUUCGAACUUUUUGAGCUGCUCACAUCAUUAGUACGGAGGUGGUAGCAAUGCGUUACAUCAGUUUCCUAAGCUAUUCUUCCAUUUUGUUAUGGAUUCGCAUGAAACAAGUUAAGAAUAAUAAACUAAGACUACUCAUUGUGAUGGUUGUGUACUCUUCCAUCGGAUUCAAUGCAAUUGGAAGACCCAAAUGAGGUUCUACCCUCUAAAGCUUUUGGUAUGUUAUGACUUGUUUGGUCUAUUAAAGAGUGGUUUAAAUUUGUCAUAUAUACUGUAGGAAUGGACCCGUUUUACCCCAGCCAAUGGCUAGAAACUCUUAUGUUCUUAUAUAAUAAUAUAUAUGUUAGAUAUACUUUUAUUAAUAUAAUAAUUUAUAAUUAAAAAUA